UGAGCAAUCUGCCCUUCUCAUCGGAAUAAGCGUUGGAAACCGCGUCUAAUGCCGAAUACGACCUCCUUUCGCAUGAUCGGAGGUGGAAAGCUCCGGCGGAGAAGGAUGAGCUCGCGGCCUAUCAGCUAGUUGGUGUGGGUAAUGGCCCACAAGGCGACGACGGGUAGCCGGCCUGAGAGGGUGACCGGCCACACGUGGGACUGAGACACCGGCCCAGACCUCCGUACGGGAGCA
rnacentral:rRNA from 1 species